CAAGAUUGGCGUCUGCAAUUAAGUCUUGCGCAAAUUCGCCGAAAGCCUUAAACGGCGGCACUAAACCGGUUCGCCGGGGCCACCAUUUCGUUCACAGGAAGCAUUCAAAUGGCAAAGAGUAAGUUUGAGCGCAACAAGCCGCACG
rnacentral:sRNA from 1 species